CCCGUUUGAGGUUGGAGGUGUAAACCCAUGGGGUGUGGCCCAAUAAUUUAGCAGCCGUGGGGGUUGUGAGUAUGACUGUGUAGGGACCCUCCCAACUGGGGGGCAAGUGUUGGUUUUUGUCUUACUCGAAGGAGCACUGAGUCUCUUGGGUUUACAGAUAGUGAGGGAGAGGAGAGAUCGAUGGGAGCUAGUAGAGUGAGGUCAGCGUACUGUCAAAUCAGGUGUCGGAGCAGGCUGAGGUAAGGGAGAUAGGCAGCCAAAGGCGGAGGAUCUUUUGGUAGGGUUGGGGUAACAGGAAGGGUCGCCCGUAUAGGAGUUCAAAUGGGCUGAGGCCUGUGGGUCCUCAGGGAGCAGCUCGGAGUCAGGUGAGUGCUAUAGGUAGGAGUUGAGGCCAAGAAAGCCGAGUCUCUAUGGGGAGUUUAGUGAGAUGGUCUUUUAUGAGGCCAUUGGCCCUUUCAACCUUACCCGAGGACUGGGGGUGGUGUGGUAUGUGGAGUUUCCAAGUAAUACCCAAAGCUUUGGAGACCUGUUGGGUGACUGCUGAGAUGAAAGCGGGCCCGUUGUCAGACUGUAUCCUUCUUGGUAGACCAAAGCGGGGAAUGAUGUCCUUGAGUAGGAUCUCAGCCACUGUGGAGGCCCCUUCAGAUGAGGUGGGGAAGGCUUCUACCCACCCUGUAAAGGUGUCAAUUAUAGUAAGGAGAUACCGUAAUUUUUUGUGUUUUGGCAUGUGAGUGAAAUCUAUUUGCCAGUCUUCACCCAGGAGAUGGCCCCGCAUCUGAUGAGUGGGGCCUGGGUGUCUCAUUCUCCCUUGGGAACUGACUGCAGCGCAUGUGGUGCAUUGUUGGUGUGUUUUGGUGAUCAGUUGUCGUAGGUGGGGGUGGUACAUAAAGGGCUCAAGGAAGCGGAAGGUGGCCUCCGGCCCAAUGUGUAGGGUUUUGUGGAUUUUUGUUAGUAGGGAAUGGACUAGGCUAUUUGGGAGGGCCAGUCGGGGGCCCAGCAUGGUCCAGCCUGCGUUGGCGUGGGCAUUGGGAUGGGCCAUGUAUUGUUUUUGUUCAUCUGGGGUAUAAUAGGGAGUGGUAUCUUCGGUGAGGAUGCCCAUAGGAACUGGGUCGAGAGAGAGAGCUGUUUGUCUAGCGGUGUUGUCAGCCUUGUGAUUUCCUGUAGCUAUCUCUGUGGUUAGGGGUUGAUGGCCCUUGCCGUGGACAAUGGCCACUUCCUGUGGGAGUUUGAGGGCCUCAAGGAGUUUCGCCAUGAAUGGCCCAUUGAUGAUGGGGGUACCCUUAGUUGUGAGGAAUCCUCUUUCUUCCCAUAAGUGGGAGUGUGUAUGUGCAAUAAGGAAAGCGUAUUUUGAGUCUGUGUAUAUUGUGACCCUUUUGUUUCUGGACAAUUGGAGAGCCCUAAUGAGGGCUGUGAGUUCAGCCUUCUGGGAUGUGGUUCCUGUGGAUAAAGUCUGGGUCUCUAGAGUUUGGUUUAAUGUAACUACAGCGUACACUGCUCGUCGGUGGCCCUUGCAGUCAACUAGUGAGCUGCCGUCUACAAAUAGGGUGAGAUCAGGGGAAGUGAGGGGAAGGUCCUUUAAGUUAGAUGGAGGUUUGGAGAGAAUAUCUAUAAGUUCAGUGCAGGAGUGGAAGGGUGGCUGUGAAGUGUCUUUGGGGUUGAUUUGUGGAAGUAGCGUGGCAGGAUUGAGUCUGGGGGAGAGUUGGAGAGAUAUUUCAGGAUUUUCAAUAAAGAGCAGAUGGAACAAUUGUAUGCGUGAUGGGGAGAGGUGUGCCAGGGCCUUAUGUGUAAGGAGAUCAGAUAGAUGGUGCGGUGAAAGUACUGUUAGGGGGCAGUGUAGGGUGAGUUUGAAUGCCUCUUGGGUUAGAGUGGCUGCUGCUGCAAGUGCUCUGAGGCAGAGUUGCCACCCCCUGAUCGUAGGGUCCAGUUGUUUAGAAAGGUAGGCGAUAGCUUGUAACAUAGGGCCACAGGGUUGGGUUAGAAGCCCUGUUGCAAUUCCAGCCCUCUCAUCUGUGUAUAAGAGGAAAGGCUUUGAAACAUUAGGGAGGGAAAGGACCAGUUGAGUGACUAGAGAUGUGACCAGCCGUUGGAAGGCCCUUGCGCCUGAUCCUGGGAUGGAGAGUGGGCCUUGGGGGGUUUCUUUGGCUGCUCUGUAUAGGGGGGCUGCGUGUAUAGCAAAGUUAGGGAUCCAGUGUCGGAAGAAGCCUACUAGACCCAGGAAGGAGAGGAUUUCGUCUGCAUUGGUAGGUGGGGACAGGGUCUGGAGGGCUUGAAGAUGAUCUUGGGUUAGGGCCUUGGUAGUAGGUGUGAGUGAGACUCCCAGGAAUAUGUCUGUAUUAGUACAGAUUUGGGCUUUGUGUGGGGAGACUUGAUACCCCAGGUUAGCCAGGAAAUUUAGGAUUUGGACUGUAUCUUGUUUGGUGUGGUCGAAAGAGGUUCCACAUAAUAGAAGGUCAUCUAUGUACUGUAGUAGAGUACAGUGACUGGAGAGUGGGGCUUUGAGGAGAUCCCUGGCCAAGGCCUGCCCAAAGAGAUGGGGACUAUCACGAAAUCCUUGGGGAAGUAGCGUCCAUGUGAGUUGGCAGGCCAGAGAAGUGACUAGAUCUUGCCAUGUGAAGGCAAAGAGGAAUUGGGACUCAGGAUGUAAGGGAAUGGUGGAAAAGGCAUCUUUGACAUCAAGCACUGUAAAAUGGGUCGUGGAUGGGGGGAUUUGGGAGAGGAGGGUAUAUGGGUUGGGCAUUACUGGAUGGAUGGGAAUUACAGCUUCAUUGAUUAUUUGGAGGUCUUGAACUAGUCUAUAUGAGCCAUUUGGCUUUUUUACAGGCAAGAUUGGGGUGUUGCAGGGGGAAUGACAUGGGAUUAGGAGGCCCUCCUUGAGUAGGCAAUCGAUGAUGGGCUUUAGGCCUAGCUGGAGUGUGGGAGAUUGAGUAUUGGGGUCUAGAUGGGAAUUGUGAUGGAUUUUUGAGUCUAAUGAGGACAGGUUGGUGAUGGGUGGCGAUUGUUGGGGUGGAUGUAUCCCAUACGAUUGGGUCUAUUGGGAGGUCUGGGUGUGGGCUGAGGCUGUGGUCUGUGUCGUCCGUGAUAACAGUCAGUAGGAGAUGAGUGGGGGAGGGUUUUUAAGCUGCAGCAGUUCCAGGUUUAGGCUCGGGUGGGUCUUUCUCUCGAGCCAGGUUGUGCUGUUGCUUGGUAAUUGGUUGACCUUCAGUUCGUUCUGGAGAGCCGCUCAGGGCUUUCUGUUGGAUUGUGCUGGCACUCGGUGAUUGGUUGACCUUCAUUCAGUUUGUCCCGGCGCGCUGCUCGGGGCCCUCCAUUGGGUUGUGCUGGCGCUCGGUGAUUGGUUGACCUUCAGUUCAUUCUGGAGAGCCGCUCAGGGCUUUCCGUUGGGUUGUGCUGGCGCUCGGUGAUUGGUUGACCUUCAGUUUGUCCCGGCGCGCUGGCAAGAGGGCCGCCCCCUUCCGGGGACAUCCUAACACUGAUUUUCUAUACUUUGCUUUUGGAGUCUCUAAAAGGGACAGUUUAGGGUAAAUGUUCCCGAAUUAUUUUCCAUCCAGAAAUUUCACAUUUGUUUCUGUUUCCAUGCUGUACAUGAAUUGUAUCCUCCAACUUUCUAUAGAGAGUCUACCUGACUGAGUUUAAAAAAGAAAAAUAAAUGUAACAACUGUCUUUCCCCCUUAGAAGCUUUUUCCAGGGCUUCCUAUUACCAGCUAGCAUUGGAGCAGCUGCACAGCUACCCCGAGGCCCUGGCGGCUCUGGGCCCUCCGCUUUUGUCCAUUAGCUCCACCUCACCGACAAGUACAGCUUCGUGGACAUUGCCGAUGCCCAGGUAACGUGCUCCCCAUGCAGACUGAAGUCCGGGAGAGGGCUGCCAUCGCUGGGGGGACGGUCUUGGAGGAUUCGGGAUGGGAACAUGCACGAAGUAAAACCUCCACUAGGUAUUACUGAGCACCUUCUGUGAAAGCAUUAUGGGUGAAUUUAUUCUCACAUACUCGUCUUCCUUUCUGGGGGAUAACUGUGGCAGGGAAGGCAGUGUUCGGGCUCAGGGCACCAUCUGGAACUGACUGUUGUAGGGAAGUGAGCAGCAGCAGUGUGCCACAGCUUCUGCCUUGAACUUGAAAUACAUCUACGACCAGUCAGUGCUCAUUCAAGUGUGAGCAACUCUUUCAACUGUAGUUUUAAUGCUCAUUUAUUCCAUUGCUGGCACGAAAUGCCAGUCCAUUUUCUCAGCUAUAUCCGCUUUUAUAUUUCAGCCAGUAAAGUCACCUGAAUAUGAGAUGCGUUUAUUCUUCUGUUGAACAAAUAUGUUUUGAGCCCACACCAAGUUAGAGGAAUGAUUAGAAGCUGUGUGGGCAAUACAGAGAUACAGAAGGGUUUCCAGGGGGUUAUGGUUUAAAACUCCCAAGUAAGACAGGGUACCCUGAAGCGAAUGCUGUGGUAGCAACCUGGGAGGGAGCAGUUAGCCACCUGGGACAUUGUUGUGAAAAGAAGGAAUGCCAGCUAUGGAUCAGUGUGCCCAAGAAGCCACGUGGCUGUGCCCCCUGCCAGUGUGACCUCCACAGAGGUGCAGGCUUCCCAGGCAGGUGUGGUGGGUAGGACGGGCUGGGACCACAGGGCCGUGACAUCAUUGUGUGAGAUAGACACACUAGAUUGUGGGGCCAGCGGAAGCCAUGGGUAAGAGUGAGAUGCUCUGAUCUAUUUUUUUUUUGUCAGUGUUGUUUUUAUUAAUUUUUUAAUGGGAAUAGUUUCAUUGGGACUUUUUUCUGACAAAAGCCACUCAUACUUGAGUAUUUUGAUAAAAAUAUUUGAUCUGGCUUUAAAAGAAGAUCAAUUCAUGCCGAUUGGAAAUACCCAGAUACUGGACCCCGGGGACUGCCUUUAGGAAAGCAGUGUGGCUAUGCAGCUGUGCAGCUGUGAGAGUGUGAACCGGAGCUAUGGCCUGCUUAGAUCAGGAGAGGACUGCGUCAGAGGUGAUGGUUUAAUGUCCGAUAUGGGUGAGUGGGAAGGUGGCGGUGCCACUAAGUGAGAGAGGGAGCCCAGAAGACAAAGGGAAGGGGUGGACAGGUACAGAGUGCCCCACUGUGUGCCAGGUGGCCUUAUGUGCAUGUCAUCAAGUCUUUCACACCAUGCGGCGUGGCUCCUCUGUGCUUCCCCAUGGGCUGGAUCCUCUCUUUCAUUAUGAAAAGUUUUGAACGUACAGAGAAGAUAAAAGAAUUGACACUCUGGUACCCAGGUAGCCGCUACCUGGAUUCUCCGAUUACAAUUGAUCCUUGAACAACACAGGUUUGGACUGUGUGGGCCCACUUCAUACACAGAUUUUUGUUGAUACAGUACAGAACUGUAAAUGUGUUUUCUCCUUACGAUUUUCUUAACAUUUUCUUUCCUCUAGCUUACUUUAUUCUAAGAAUACAGCACAGAAUACAUAGAACAUACAAACAUGUGUUAGUCGACUGCUUAUAUUAGUAGUAAGGCUUCCAGUCAUCAGUGUGCUAUUAAUAAUUAAAUUUGGGGGGAGUCAAAAGUUACGUGCAGAUUUUUGAUGUGUUGUUCGAGGGUCGACUGUAAUAUUUUCCUUGAUUUGCUUUAUCUCAUAUCUGUUCGUCUAGCCAUAUCUGUGUCCAUGAACACAUCAUGUUCAAACAUCCAUACACUUCAUUUAAACACAUAAGCAACAUAUCAUUAACCAGAGUUUAAUAUAUAUUUAUUGUUCUUUCUUUUUUUGAGGUAAAAUUUGCAUUCUGGGAAAGGUACAGAUCUGUCCUAUUUGAUGAAUUUUAAUAAAUACAUUCACCAAUGUAACAAGCCCCCAUCUAGAUGUAGCCUAUUCACAUCACCUGAGAGUCGCUUAUGCUCUUCCCAGUUGGUCCUCUCACAUCCCUCAGCCCUGCUAGAGACAACCACUUCUCUGAUACAUUUUUCCAACAUAGCUUAGCCUGUUCUAGAAAAUUAAAUUAUAUGCUUCUGGGUAAGGCUCUUUCACUUGGCCUGUUUUUGAUGUCCAUAUUGUUGCAUGUAUCUGUAGUUAUGUUCUUUCUUAACAGUGGAUUUUUGAAUAUGGUUGUAAGUACUCAGAGCCCUGAGUUUGCACAUAAGGUCCCUGCCAAAUAGGAGGACUGCCACUGACCUCACCAAACCAUCCAAAGAGGGGCAGGACAUUUGGAGCCAGAUGGAAAAUCAGGUCAGUUCUCCAGCUAGAAAACAACCAAUUCUGUGAAUGAUCAUUGGACUUCAUAGGGUUAGCUCUAGAAAACAUCACUUUUUCAUCUCUUGGGAGGACAACAAUGUAUCCAAUUGUAUCUGGCAUUUUAUACCCCCAGUUGAAGAUUCCAGUCUCUGGAACCAAGUUAGAGGGCCAUAUCUAUGUCAGCUCAUCCAGAGAUGCCCCCUUUCAGAGGUAUUAUGGGAAGGUGAGUGGGAAUGGGGGAACAGGAAGAGAACCCUCCAAUGGAAACAAUCUUGAUUCUCAUUUUCAUUUGUAGUGAAAUGAUUGCAAUAGUAAGAAUUCAUUUUUCAAACCUUGAAAAGUUUCAUGGCCUGGACACCAAGCCAGUGCUUUGGCUCUUAGCUCAGUCCAGAUGUUUUAUGCAGGGCAGCCUCUUGAAUUGUCCUCUCCUUAUGCUGCUGACUGUGAAGAACUUGACAGCUCUACUGAUCUAGAUCUAUGAUAUUGAUGCUGUGUUACAACUUCUAACACUUGCCUCAGUCGUCACAGAUGAACAAAGGCAUGGGUUCCUGUUCCAGAAGUAUUCAUCACAUUCUUUAUAGAAGAUCUCCACCCCAUUAAUUGGCUUUUCUUGUCUGGUUGCCAAUAGCUACAUUCACUCACUCCCUCUUCUGGAAGUCUCUCCAGAGAUGCUUGCUGUUUAGCCAAGUUGUGUUUUAAUUCCCCAGGAUAAAAGGAGCAGGCAGCCCUCAGGCAGCCCCCAGCCGGCUCCCCCUGGGCUCAUUGACCCCCGAGCCUGGGAUUAAUGCAGGAGCUGGCAGAGUUCCAGCCAAGAAUUGAAGGUUGAUGUGAAUUAGGAAAUGGGGAAUAAGCUCCUUCUCUUUCCUGGUGCCCCCUCCAUUCACCGGUCAUUCAUUCUUUGUUAAACUUGCCUUGACAGUGAUGCUGGUUAAACUAUGACAGUCCUUAAGAAAAUGCUAAAACGUUAUCUUAUAGCUCUAACAAAAUAGUGUGUAAAAUUUUUAAGAUGUUAUUCAAAAACAACUGUUUUUUUUUUUUCUUUUGACCAUGUCUUUUGCUUUGGUGUUUGUGACUAGAGGCUAUUCUUUUGUUUUCUCUCAGGUGGCACCUUCAGAAGGUCUUAAAGCUCAAGGGUGGUCAGCAGAUUCCCGUGUUUAAGCUCAGCAGGGACACUGGUGAUGAAGGAGGACAGGUGAUCAAAACGACUCUGCUUUCUCCAAGAGUGGCCUCCCCUCCUCACCGGGUCCCUCCAGGGCCUUGAGCCGGGUGUCCAGCACCAGGGGUGACUAUUUCAGACAUGAUAAGAGAGUGGCCUGCAAAUGGAAAGAAAACACACACACGAAAAAAGGCCUCAGGAGGAGAAAUAUGAGCUAUGCCCCAGAACGAAGAUACCCAUUUUGGCCAGGGGACAGGUUAGCUGAAGCCACAGUAAAAGAAAGCCCUGGAAAGGUGAGUUGGCCACCACAUGUGCCAGUGUUAGCAUUUUGCAUGUGGCUUGUGGCCAUCAUAGAUUUGGGAGUAAGCAUAUGAUUGCACAGUUAAUGGAUGGUUAAGAGACUAUGAUGAAUACGUCCUGACAGGCUGAUAGGACUUUUUGAUAAAUCACACAUUUUACUGUCAUUGAUUCCAUUUUUCUAGGAUUGGCUUCCUCCUACCUCUCUUCCCUUCAACCAUCCCCCCUUCACUGAUUUAAUUAUACCUGAUGAGACGUUUUAUUACUCCCGGUUUUGGUAGUUUUUAACAGUAAAGAUGAAGAAGCUGAAAUAAAAUACAUGUAUACAAAACAGCCAGAACUUGACAAAGUGGCCUCUGUCUGCUGGCACAGUGGGAAGGCCGAGGUAAUGCUCAAUAGGCAGCAGCACAAGGGUUUCCUGAAGUCAGGCAGCCUUAGGCCACUUGACUGUUUGGUUUUCAGUUUGUAUGAAAAAUAUGAAGAAAUACUUACCAAGCAACUAUCUUACAAGUGAGGCAAUGCUUUUACCGCUCGUUGAGAUGCUUGGCAAACCUGCCGUAUACACAGGAGGCCUGAUGGCUGAGGAGGUCAGGGAGGAGGCGGGAGGAUGAUGGGAAAACCUCUAGGCCCACCUACAGGAUUCUUGCCUCCUUAGUAACCUGUACAUCAUCCAGGCUUGUUUUUUGGCCAGCGUCGGAGUUGCUCAGGUGAAAGUACAUUCAGGAACAUGUAGAGAAAAGCUGUGGCAUUUUACAAUCCAGGGUAGAAAAGUGGCAGAUGAAAAUAUUAAAAACAUGCCUCUCAGACAUAGGUAUGUAUCACAUAUCACAUGUGGUAUAUUAAAUGCCUUUUACCAUUAAAUAAGCAGCCUUUGAGGCAGAAUUUUUUUCCUCCACCACAUAAUACUUAGCUUUUUUAUUAUUUUGAUAUCUGAUCUUAUUCUUCUUAGAACAAUCUCAUUUUUGACAGGACUCAGAGAUAGAAGCUUUCCGAGAAGACAGCCUCCGUCUCUUGGCAGUCUGUUCCUUGUGUUUUCCUUGGCCUCCUUCAUUCUGUUGGCCACCAGUCUGGCAUAUCCUGCAGCCUCUUGCUUAUGUUUCUCAGUCUGCUGCUUCCAAGCAGUAUGCCAACGUUUGUGCUGGACGACUGGUGGAGGAACAAGACGCUGAAUCUUGAGAGCUUUGGUUCUAGGUUUCUUCCCUUCUUUGUUUAGGGGCUUUCUCACAAAGACUGGCAGACAUCAUCUUCCUUCAAGCGAUUGUAAAGUCUGAGGUUUCUGCUAGCUCUUUUGGGGCCCCGGGCAAUGAGGAACUGUAGUGUCAGUUAGUCUAGGAAUAUCCUUCUCCCCUUUUCUCACGAUGGCCACAUGGAGAACACUGAGGUUGGUCCACAAUGCAACCUGAACAGAUAUGGGCUUUCUCCAGUCCUCCUUGGUUGGUAGCAGGAAUGCCCCUUGCUCAGCAGCAGGCGGACACGGCCAUGGGUCAGGACACCUGCUUCAUGGGGAAGCCUUGUUUGCCGUUGCCACCUCUGAUUCAGACCGCAUCACCCUUCCAUUCUUCCUAGUUCAUCAGCAGCAACUUCUGUGGCCAUUCGCUUCUCAAAAAAGGUAUGAAGUUUCCAUUCAUCGUCCACUUCAAUGAGUUUCUAGCAGUCAGCAGCUGGCAAAGAGAUGUUCAGCUUCAUCCUGAAGCAGCCUACUGCCUCCGAGUCGCCGCAAAAAAGACCUGUAACACUUAGCUUUUAAGUGCAGCUACCAUGUGUCAAUCACCUUGCAGCCUUAAUAAGAAAGUAAUUUUGUACUUCCACGUCAGUUUGAGAAACCAAUUCCUCCCAUGAAUGUGGUUGCAGAAUUCUAAACACUAGCAAACUGAAUCCAGGGACGUAUAAUAAGUGGUACAUUAUUUUUCACAAAAUGUGGUGCCUAUAUCUUUGCAGUGCCCUCCUCUAUGGGAAGAUUAUAUAUCCCUGUCUUGUUGAACUCAGGUGUGACCAGGUGGCUUGUUUUGGCCAAUUGAUUUGUGAGUGGAAGUGAUAAGCAAGACUUCUGAGUAAAAGUUUUAAGUGCCAGCCCUUGGUUCUUCAUGCCCUCUUUUCUCUCUUCCCAAAAUUCAGUAAUGUUCUAGAUGGUAGCUACUCUAGGGACUUGAGUUCUGGAAUGAAGAUGAUAUGUGACAGAGCUUACAGCUGACCCACAAUGGGACAUGUAGCAUGGGUGAGAAAUAAACCCUUAAAAGCCCCUAAAAUUAGGGGCCAUUUUUACAUCAGCUUAACCUAGCCAAUUCUGUAAACAGUGACUAAGAUUUAUUUCAGGAAUGCAAGGUGGUUCAAUAUAAGGAAAUUUAUUGAUAGAGCUAAUCAUAUUAACAGAGCUAAGGAGGAAAAUUAUAUUUCAUUUUUUUUUUUAAUUAGGCCUCAUGCCCAGUGUGGAGCCCAACAUGGGGCUUGAACUCACGAUCCUGAGGGUUAAGACCUGAGCUGAAACCAAAGUUGGACACUUAACCAACUGAGCCCCAUGUGAUACUUUUAUAGAUACAGAAAGUCAUUUCACAAAAACUCAUUAAGUGUUCACAUUAAAAACAAAUGAGAAUUGAUAGUUCCUCUCAUAAGAGGAGAGUGUGUGCACGUACAUGUAUUCCCAAAGCGAUCAUCUUACCCAACUGGAAAACUACUAGAGGUUUUUUUCCAUUCAAGUCAGAAACAAGAUAAGGAUACACUAUAUCCACUAUUAUUUAACAUUAUGCUGUAUCCAAUAUAGUUAGGCAAAAGAACAAAACAAAAACAAGAGACCUAAAAAUUAGGGAGAGUUGCUAUUUAUGUAGAUGGUAUCAUUAUAUAUCUGCAAAACCCAAAAGAAUCUGUGGAAAACUAGAGUAUUUAGUAGAGGACAUUAAUGUUUAGAAACAAUCUUGUGCCUGGGUGGCUCAGUCUGUUGGUUGAGCAUCCAACUCUUGAUUUCAGCUCAGGUCAUGAUCCCAGGAUUGCAGGAUUGAGCCCCGCGUCCUGAAUGUGGGUGGC